rnacentral:rRNA from 1 species
AUUGAACGCUGGCGGCAGGCCUAACACAUGCAAGUCGACCGAGUGGCGGACGGGUGAGUAAUGUCUGGGAAACUGCCUGAUGGAGGGGGAUAACUACUGGAAACGGUAGCUAAUACCGCAUACCAUCGGAUGUGCCCAGCGGUGAUUAGCUAGUAGGUGGGGUAAAGGCUCAACUAGGCGACGAUCCCUAGCUGGUCUGAGAGGAUGACCAGCCACCCUGGAACGGAGACACGGUCCAGACUCCGUCGGUAGGCAGCAGUGGGGAAUAUUGCACAAUGUGCGCAAGCCUGAUGCAGCCAGGCCGCGUGUAUGAAGAAGGCCUUCGGUUUGUAUAGGACUGUCAGCGGGGAGGAGUUACCUGCAGAAGAAGCACAGUCUAACUCUGUGACAGCAGCCGCGGUAAUAC